rnacentral:tRNA from 1 species
GUGGGUGUAGCUCAGUGGUAGAGCCCCGGAUUUUGACUCCGGUGGUCGUGGGUUCGAACCCCAUCAUCCACCCCA